AUUUACCUACUAAUAUAGAGCAAUCUUAUUCAAAUCCCAUGAUAACUUUUAAAUUAAAAUCUAGCCAGCUCAUAGUUUUCUGGAAAAUAUUAGAAAAUAUGAAGGAAAAGCUAUGAAAUGUAUGAAGAAGAUCAAAGAGCAGGAGCUCACUCUAUUAGAUGUUAAAAUAAGUUAUUAAGCACCUGGAAUUAAAUAGUGUGUUACUAGUAGAAGAAAAGGUAACUGGAUCAACAGAACAGAGUCUAGACACAGACAGUAUUUUUGAUCAGUGAAGAAGAAAUAAAGCAUUUAAUACAGUAUUUUAAAACAAUUGGAUCUUCAUGCGGGAGAAAAAGUUGAUUCUCUACCUCAACCUCACUAAACAGCAAAUAGACAAAUUCUAGAUGGAUUGAAAAACGCAACAACACAUGUUAAACCAGAAGAAAAAAAUAUCAGACACUGUUUUUAUACCGUCAGGUGGCAGAGGCCUUCCUGGAAACCCGCACCCGCCGGGCCCUGCGGAGGGACUGGCAGCGGGGCCGGCAUGCCUCCUGGCUCUUGCCAUUGUCCUUCUCUCCCCUGGAUUGUUUGUCUUUUUCCCCUAGAUUUAGAAAACUUUUACAUUAAUAUACUAAUCCUUUCAGUGGCUUUCACUGAACUUCACUGUUUCAAAUAUUUCUCAGGAUUUUUAGCUUCAAGGAGGAAAAACAACCGUGGAUUAAGGAGCACAGACUUUGCAGUUGAGCACCACUGGGUUCUACCUUUGUUUGGGGCCUUAAAUUGAUCUCCCUCAUCUGUGAAAGAGAGAUGGUUCCUACUGCUCACAGAUAAUGCACAUCAGAGGUGAACACAGUUUGAAAGGUAUUUUUCUGGGUGACUGGGGAGAGAAGAUCCGUGUGGCAAGUUUUCAGAACUCCUUUCAUUUAAAAGAAACUGAUGGCUGAGGAAGCACCGACACCAGUUGCUCCCUGGAGAACUUUGUGCUGAACCUAGUUCUUUCAGCGCUGUGUUCCAAGAGCAGGAAACAGUUAGGUUCAGAAGUGGAACUGUGAGACCCACCCACCAAGGAGAGCGUCACAGUCGUGGAUCCCCGUGACAAUGCUGGCGUGGGUGUUACAUGCUGGAGUGCUGUUGUUGCCUGUGCAAAAGAUCAGGAAAGCGGAGCCUGCCAUGUAUGACUCAGACAUGUCUCUUGGCCCCUCUCUCUGUACCUUCAUUUCCUCAUUGCAAAAAAAUGGAUCUUAACACAAUUUUUCAGAGCUCAUACUGAGCUUACCCGCAGCUAACCAGUAACUGUAUCAUGUUUUUACACAUCAUUUUUUUACACAUAUUCAUCUUCUAUUUCACUUACAAUGUGUGUAAGAACUGCAUUCCAUGCCAGGCCUGAAAUGUUCCAAAGCUCAGUUCUGUAAUUAGAUUGCAACCAAGAUUUCUACAAAAAAAAUAUACAAGAAAAAGAAGAAAAAUAUUAUUUCAGAACAUUUACCCCUUGGCAGGGAUUCUAAUCUGUAUAUGAUGAAACAUAACCUCAAUACUUCCUCGUACACUAAAGAAAUCUCACUAUGGAAGAUAUUUGUUUUAUUUUUAACAUUUGUAUAAAAAAACGAUUGUCUGUCAAGUACACUUGUUUUAUAAAAAAGAGAAAGAUGGAUUAGUAAUUGACAUCUAGGUUUUUUCCUGGUAUCAGUGGUAUUAUUACAGAAAAUAUGAAUAAAAUAAAAUAUAUUUGUAUGAAA